rnacentral:rRNA from 1 species
UACAGAGGGGGCAAGCGUUGUUCGGAAUUACUGGGCGUAAAGGGCGCGUAGGCGGCCUUCUAAGUCGAACGUGAAAUCCUUGGGCUCAACCCAGGAACUGCGUCCGAUACUGGAAGGCUUGAAUCCGGGAGAGGGAUGCGGAAUUCCAGGUGUAGCGGUGAAAUGCGUAGAUAUCUGGAGGAACACCGGUGGCGAAGGCGGCAUCCUGGACCGGCACUGACGCUCAUGCACGAAAGCGUGGGGAGCAAACAGG